UACGUAGGGUGCAAGCGUUUGUCCGGAAUUAUUGGGCGUAAAGAGCUCGUAGGCGGUUUGUCGCGUCUGCUGUGAAAACCCGGGGCUCAACCCCGGGCGUGCAGUGGAUACGGGCUGGCUAGAGGCAGGCAGGGGAGAACGGAAUUCCCGGUGUAGCGGUGAAAUGCGCAGAUAUCGGGAGGAACACCGGUGGCGAAGGCGGUUCUCUGGGCCUGUACUGACGCUGAGGAGCGAAAGCGUGGGGAGCGAACAGG
rnacentral:rRNA from 1 species